AUUGAACGCUGGCGGCAGGCCUAACACAUGCAAGUCGAACGAGUGGCGGACGGGUGAGUAAUGUCUGGGAAACUGCCUGAUGGAGGGGGAUAACUACUGGAAACGGUAGCUAACACCGCAUACCAUCAGAUGUGCCCAGAUGGGAUUCGCUUGUUGGUGGGGUAACGGCUCACCAAGGCGACGAACCCUAGCUGAUCUGAGAGGAUGACCAGCCACCCGGGAACUGAGACACGGACCAGAAUCAUAGGGAGGGCACCAGUGUGUAAUAUUGCACUGUGGGCGAAAGCAUGAUGGAGCCCUGCCGCAUGAAUGAAGAGGGCCUUCCGGUGGUAAAGUACUUUCAGCGGAGAGGCGUUACACGCAGAAAAAGCCACGGGUAACUCCGUGCCAGGAGGCGCGGUAAUAC
rnacentral:rRNA from 1 species